rnacentral:rRNA from 1 species
CCUACGGGUGGCAGCAGUCGAGAAUCAUUCACAAUGGGGGAAACCCUGAUGGUGCGACGCCGCGUGGGGGAAUGAAGGUCUUCGGAUUGUAAACCCCUGUCAUGUGGGAGCAAAUUAAAAAGAUAGUACCACAAGAGGAAGAGACGGCUAACUCUGUGCAAGCAGCCGCGGUAAUACAGAGGUCUCAAGCGUUGUUCGGAAUCACUGGGCGUAAAGGGUGUGUAGGCGGUUUCGUAAGUCGGAUGUGAAAGGCGCGGGCUCAACCCGCGGACGGCACAUGAUACUGGGAGACUAGAGUAAUGGAGGGGGAGCCGGAAUUCUCGGUGUAGCAGUGAAAUGCGUAGAUAUCGGGAGGAACACUCGUGGCGAAGGCGGGUUCCUGGACAUUAACUGACGCUGAGGCACGAAGGCCAGGGGAGCGAAAGGGAUUAGAUACCCGAGUAGUC